rnacentral:rRNA from 1 species
GAUGAACGCUGGCGGCGUGCCUAAUACAUGCAAGUCGAGCGAACAGACGAGGAGCUUGCUCCUCUGACGUUAGCGGCGGACGGGUGAGUAACACGUGGAUAACCUACCUAUAAGACUGGGAUAACUUCGGGAAACCGGAGCUAAUACCGGAUAAUAUAUUGAACCGCAUGGUUCAAUAGUGAAAGACGGUUUUGCUGUCACUUAUAGAUGGAUCCGCGCCGCAUUAGCUAGUUGGUAAGGUAACGGCUUACCAAGGCGACGAUGCGUAGCCGACCUGAGAGGGUGAUCGGCCACACUGGAACUGAGACACGGUCCAGACUCCUACGGGAGGCAGCAGUAGGGAAUCUUCCGCAAUGGGCGAAAGCCUGACGGAGUAACGCCGCGUGAGUGAUGAAGGUCUUCGGAUCGUAAAACUCUGUUAUUAGGGAAGAACAAAUGUGUAAGUAACUAUGCACGUCUUGACGGUACCUAAUCAGAAAGCCACGGCUAACUACGUG